ACAGGUGCUGCACGGCUGUCGUCAGCUCGUGUCGUGAGAUGUUGGGUUAAGUCCCGCAACGAGCGCAACCCUCAUCGUUAGUUGCUAACAGUUCGGCUGAGCACUCUAGCGAGACUGCCUUCGCAAGGAGGAGGAAGGUGAGGACGACGUCAAGUCAUCAUGGCCCUUAUGGCUAGGGCUACACACGUGCUACAAUGGGGCGUACAGAGAGUUGCGAUACCGCGAGGUGGAGCUAAUCUCAUAAAGCGUCUCUCAGUUCGGAUUGAUCUCUGCAACUCGAGAUCAUGAAGCUGGAAUCACUAGUAAUCGUAGAUCAGCAAUGCUACGGUGAAUACGUUCCCGGGUCUUGUACUCACCGCCCGUCACACCAUGGGAGUUGAUUUCA
rnacentral:rRNA from 1 species